AUAAUUAUUUUUUGGUUUAGUUAUUAUAAGAAUUUUGCUGAAAACGUCUGCUGUCAUUUGGAACUUUUGAUUCAAAAGUUCUAUUACCAUAACCCAUCGCCCUAGGCUUGUUAUUAUCUAAACCUAUUCUUUCUCUACAUCUUAUGGACGGGUGAUUCAAACAGCAUUUCAAACAUGAAUGACUGAACCAACAACCAUUACUAGAACACACUCCUUAAACAUUUAAAGUCAUAUCAUUUGUUAAUGCGUGGCUGUUGCGUAGUAUGCGUAUUAGUUGAAGCAAUAGCCAUUAUUUGAAGCCAUAAUUGGGAAUCAAUUAUAUUCCAAUUUUUUGUAGGGUUUCUUGCAACUCUUAAUCUAAAUUGCUGAUCAUACAUGUACCACUUUUCAAUAGUACUAUCAGCUGCUGCACCCUUUAUUAUAACUAUGUAACCAAACAGUUGACUAGCUUUCAUUGGAUGUCUCUGAAUCAAAACUUGUGAAUAAGCUAAAAAAGCGUCUGUCCAGG
rnacentral:lncRNA from 1 species